GACGAACGCUGGCGGCGUGCUUAACACAUGCAAGUCGAACGGAAAGGCCCUGCUUUUGUGGGGUGCUCGAGUGGCGAACGGGUGAGUAACACGUGAGUAACCUGCCCUUGACUUUGGGAUAACUUCAGGAAACUGGGGCUAAUACCGGAUAGGAGCUCCUGCUGCAUGGGGGGGGUUGGAAAGUUUCGGCGGUUGGGGAUGGACUCGCGGCUUAUCAGCUUGUUGGUGGGGUAGUGGCUUACCAAGGCUUUGACGGGUAGCCGGCCUGGGAGGGUGACCGGCCACAUUGGGACUGCGGUACGCCCCAGACUCCUACGGGAGGCAGCGGUGGGGAAUAUUGCACAAUGGGCCGAGGCCUGAUGCGGCAACGCCGGGUUCGGGAUGACGGCCUUCGGGUUGUAAACCGCUUUCGCCUGUGACGAGGCGUGAGUGACGGUACUUGGUAAAGAAGCACCGGCUAACUACGUG
rnacentral:rRNA from 1 species